AACGCACCUUGCGCUCCUUGGUAUUCCGAGGAGCAUGCCUGUUUGAGUGUCAUUAAAUCCUCAAUCCCUUCAACCUUUUUGUGGGUUUGUUGUGGCUUGGAUAAUGGGGGCUGGAGGCUUCUGUUGAGGUCUGCUCCUCUGAAAUGCAUUAGCAGAACUGUUUGCGGUCUGUUACUGGUGUGAUAAUUAUCUACGCCAAAAGACUGCUCUCAAUUGUUCAGCUUCUAAUCGUUCAUAUGGACAACUUUUGUAUGCUUGACCUCAAAUCAGGUAGGACUACCCGCUGAACUUAA
rnacentral:misc_RNA from 1 species